UAUAAUCUGCCUAAAUAUAUCAUCAAAGGUGUAUCAUCAAAAGUUGUACACAACAAAUAGGCAAAACACCAAAUCAAUAGAUAUGCAUAUCAAAUGCCUUUAGUGAUGGUGAAUGUAAUUUGCCUAGUUUGAGAGCUCUUUCCCAAAGCAAUUAUGCAGUCUAAAAUAUGCACAGUGUGAUUUCAAUUGUUUUCUGAUUAUUGUCAAAUAUAUGAAUUAUUAUAUUUGAAAUUAUGUAACAACAUUCCAACCUUGUAUAACUUAAUCUAGUACAAACAUAUGACAUGAUUCCACUUUUUGUAUUCGUUUGCAUCACCUCCAAUAAGGGACUUAAUUGAAGGUGAAUCUCAAAUUCCAAUGAUUUGGCUAAUCAUUAUUGUGGCUCAUUUCACACAAGUAAAUGAACCUAUCCGAACUGUCUGUCUGUCGAUGGUGAUGGGAGAGCUGGCCUCAGUUUCAUGCUAGGCAUCGCGCUAGCACUUACUCCUCCCUCAACGGUCCGUGCUGCAUUUUGUUGCCGGUAUUCACACAUUUCGUCAGUAGUAGUCAGUAUAAUUCUCGAUUAUCAGAAGGUAUAACGGUAAUUGUUUUUGGAAAGCUGCAAAACAGUGUUGACUUUUCAUGGUCUGCUAAACAUUUCGAAGUGACAAUUUGUGUAGCAGAUAAAAAUAGGUUUUUAAAAAAUGAAAAGAUUAGGUCUCGAUGUUUUGCCAAGGCUGCACUGCAGCAUCUACUCACAGGUAUUAUCCCACUACUGGACAGCACGGGGGAUUUGACCUGCUUCGUUUCCGACCUGGUUCACCCCUCCUUAGACAACCUGGUGGUCCCGGGCUCCCCCAGGAACACCAUAUCGAUAACGAACUUAGCGUGGACACCCGUUCGACAUAGCGUGCUGCAGCCCAGAGCUUCCCAGCUCACUUGAGCCACCAACCUCAGCCUCCCAGUGACUUGGACUACAGGCACAUGACACUGCACCCGGCGAGAUGUUCAGCUGGACAUAAAGGUAAUAAAGUGAGUAAGUAGCCCAGUCUGUAGCGUCAUUUCGAAGAAGGGGUGUAGGCUACAGUCCUUUGUAAUGUCAAUGGAAAUAACUAAAACCUUUAACUACAUUUGAUUCGUUUUUCAAUGAAAGUCAGAGUAGAUAACAGAAAAUCUCUGACGGUCAUUUGAUGAUGUUUCUAGAAGACAAAAGUAGUCUAGCCUGGGCCUAUCAGUACUGCUGGCUAGGUUGUAAAAAAAAUACUUAGAAAAAGUUUUCUGGUAAUUUAAAAUCUGCGAAGGCAAAAAACAAACAAACAUGUAUAUACACAAAACCAAUGGAUAUGUUGACUUCCUGCACAUCACAAUGGAUAUAAUAAAUACCAAACGUGUCAUUCACACGUCAACCAUGCUUUGCUUAAUUGAUGUCUGCAUCCAUACUGCAUGCACUAAAAAAAAAGGUGUGUAAAAAAAGAUACUAAAAGAUGAGAUUGAAGUACUAUGAAGUAAUCUUCAAGCACACUGUGCUAUCAUAGAUUCACAUCAGCUGUAAAAAAAAAAAUUAAAAAUGUAUAUCAUGUAUCAUGUAUAAUGUCCUCUGUUACUCAAUCAAUAAGGUCCAUAGACAGUUUGCAAGGGGUCAUUCGUCCAGGACCAGGCUGAAGCUCAAUACCAGAUGCUUCUUCUAUACAGACAACAAAACAACACACAUGGUUCCUCCUGGUUGUGUAGACGAUGACUGUGGCAACCAUGAUGGUCAGUGCCAUAAAGAGCAUGAUGUGACUGAUGUGCAACUCAACAACAUUGCUGGUGCCUGGACAAUGUGAAGUGAUUAAACAAAACCAUUUGAAUUAGUUUAUUAGAAAGUAAAGGUUGUAUCACACAGCCGCCAUUAGAGGUUGCUGAAGAUCAACAUCCAUUAACCAAAAACGUACAAAUCUUACAAAUAUGUACCCUGCACAGGAGGCUGCUGAGGGAAGAGUACGGCUCAUAAUAAUGGCUGGAAUGGAGUGAAUGGAAUGCUAUCAAACACAUGGAAACCACACCGCCUGUGGUAUCCUGCUAUCAAAGUGUAAUAGGUUGGAAGUGCCUCUAUGGAGAGCAAUAGUAAUGGUGUCUUUUUGUAGGCACUAACCUCACCAUGGUUCGUUGGACAAAGCUAUGUGUAAAUGAAUGAGGAGCUUUUGUAAGGUUUUUGGAUAAACGCAGAAAAUGUGGUCUGUGGUAAACACAGGCGUAGAAGAUUUUUGUUCUAUGAGAUUAUCUUCAUCAGUCAACAUCCCUUUUUGUGAAUUUUGAAGCAUGUAUGUAAUAAAAAAAAGCACAUAAAGGCAUCAUAAUUCAUGAAGGUCAUGUUAACUGACUGACCAAACAUAUAAGAUUUCCUAAACCUGUGCUAAUCUCAUACUAAAUUUUCGUCUUUUAUCCCAAAACCCUAUUCUUUACCCAUUAAUUUUACCCAUAGGAAUGGCUGUACGAACCAGAGGUAACUCUGUUUCUGGUUUUUAGGGCAGUCUAAAUUCAUUGUUGGUGUGCUCUGAUUGCUUGCGGGCAUGAAUGGAGAAUAAAUCUCCCCAUUUCCUACAAAAUGGCUGAGCAAUUAAUAUGUGCAUUUCCUGCCAGAGGAGGAACUAAUACAUGCACUGAUCACUUGUCUUUUCUUACUAGCACUGAUUUAUCAGAUAGCUGCUGUAAUGAGGAUUUUUUAAAAACUUGCAAUGACUGCAAUAUGUGGUUAUUUUAUCUACCUUAAUUGAAUGCACUGCCGCCAUGACUGUAAAUCGCGAUGGAUAUUUGUAUGCUCAAUACUUUAUAGUGAGAAACUUGCUGUGCUGAGACUCUGACAGAGGAGAGUCAGAUUAAGAGGACAAUGGUUGAAAUAGCUGUUUUAGGGCUGAUUGGGUCCCUUUAGUAUCUGCUAAAUAUUGUAUACAUUUUUUGAUAAGUAGACAUUUUUGUUGUGACAUUCUAUGGAUAAAGUUACUCCAUUUAUGUGAAAAACAUACUGG
ensembl:lncRNA